rnacentral:lncRNA from 1 species
AUUGGUUAAUUGUUGUUUACUUUAUUUCCAGUAGCAAAUAUUUCAAUAAUGUUCAGAAAGUUAUGAACUUAUCUAUUUAUGAUUUAAAUGUAUGACAGGUUAAAAUAGCAAGUAAAGUCAUGUCGCAUAUUGCAUAAUGCUUACAUGAUGAAAUAUGACUUGACUAUAUAGUAAUUUUGUAUCUUUAUUUUUUAUUUGUCAGUACAGAACAAAAAAUUUGUAAAUAAAUGAAAAAAAUAAAUAAUAUAAAUGCAUUUUUAUACAUUUGAGUUGUUUUUCAUUUUAUGACAGAAAUCCAGAUAUAUAAGGUAAAUGCAAGAAUGCAACUUACUAAAUAAGAAAGAAAGGAAAUGGCAA